rnacentral:rRNA from 1 species
CUACCAUGCAGUCGAGCGAAGAGCUUAUUAUGAAAUCUUCGGAUGGAUUAAUAAAUUUCUUAGCGGCGGAUGGGUGAGUAACGCGUGAGGAACCUGCCUUCUACAAGGGGAUAGCCUCGGGAAACCGGGAUUAAUACCCUAUGACACUUUUUGGUCUCAUGAUUUUGAAGUCAAAGCGUUAGCGGUAGAAGAUGGCCUCGCGUCCCAUUAGCUAGUUGGUGAGGUAACGGCUCACCAAGGCUGCGAUGGGUAGCCGGCUUGAGAGAGUGAACGGCCACACUGGAACUGAGACACGGUCCAGACUCCUACGGGAGGCAGCAGUGGGGAAUAUUGCACAAUGGAGGGAACUCUGAUGCAGCGACGCCGCGUGAGCGAUGAAGGCCUUCGGGUCGUAAAGCUCUGUCCUAUGGGACGAUAAUGACGGUACCAUAGGAGGAAGCCCCGGCUAACUACGUGCCAGCAGCCGCGGUAAUACGUAGGGGGCGAGCGUUGUCCGGAUUUAUUGGGCGUAAAGGGUACGUAGGCGGCUAUGCAAGUCAGAUGUGAAAGAUCACGGCUUAACCGUGGUAAGCAUUUGAAACUGCGUAGCUUGAGUUAAGGAGAGGAAAGUGGAAUUCCUGGUGUAGCGGUGAAAUGCGUAGAUAUCAGGAGGAAUACCAGUGGCGAAGGCGACUUUCUGGACUUAUACUGACGCUGAGGUACGAAAGCGUGGGGAGCAAACAGGAUUAGAUACCCUG